rnacentral:rRNA from 1 species
GACGAACGCUGGCGGCGUGCUUAACACAUGCAAGUCGAACGGAAAGGCCCUGCUUUUGUGGGGUGCUCGAGUGGCGAACGGGUGAGUAACACGUGAGUAACCUGCCCUUGACUUUGGGAUAACUUCAGGAAACUGGGGCUAAUACCGGAUAGGAGCUCCUGCUGCAUGGUGGGGGUUGGAAAGUUUCGGCGGUUGGGGAUGGACUCGCAGCUUAUCAGCUUGUUGGUGGGGUAGUGGCUUACCAAGGCUUUGACGGGUAGCCGGCCUGAGAGGGUGACCGGCCACAUUGGGACUGAGAUACGGCCCAGACUCCUACGGGAGGAAGCAGUGGGGAAUAUUGCACAAUGGGCGGAAGCCUGAUGCAGCAACGCCGCGUGCGGGAUGACGGCCUCGGGUUGUAAACCGCUUUCGCCUGUGACGAAGCGUGAGUGACGGUAAUGGGUAAGAAGCACCGGCUAACUACGUG